rfam:Picea glauca, whole genome shotgun sequence.
UCCGUCGUCGUCUAGUCUUGUUAGAAUACCUGGUUUUCACCCAGGCGACCCGGAUUCAAAACUCGGCAACGGAA